rnacentral:rRNA from 1 species
GAUGGACGCUGGCGGCGUGCCUAAUACAUGCAAGUCGAGCGAACGGACGAGAAGCUUGCUUUUCUGAUGUUAGCGGCGGACGGGUGAGUAACACGUGGAUAACCUACCUAUAAGACUGGGAUAACUUCGGGAAACCGGAGCUAAUACCGGAUAAUAUUUUGAACCGCAUGGUUCAAAAGUGAAAGACGGUCUUGCUGUCACUUAUAGAUGGAUCCGCGCUGCAUUAGCUAGUUGGUAAGGUAACGGCUUACCAAGGCAACGAUGCAUAGCCGACCUGAAAGGGUGAUCGGCCACACUGGAACUGAGACACGGUCCAGACUCCUACGGGAGGCAGCAGUAGGGAAUCUUCCGCAAUGGGCGAAAGCCUGACGGAGCAACGCCGCGUGAGUGAUGAAGGUCUUCGGAUCGUAAAACUCUGUUAUUAGGGAAGAACAUAUGUGUAAGUAACUGUGCACAUCUUGACGGUACCUAAUCAGAAAGCCACGGCUAACUACGUG